rnacentral:rRNA from 1 species
CAAUAGCGUAUAUUAAAGUUGUUGCAGUUAAAAAGCUCGUAGUUGAAUUUUUGCUUGCCGCCGAUGUCGGAACUUCCGUACGUUCGGCGGCGUGCAUCCUUGGGUGGAACCUGUGUGGCAUUAGGUUGUCGUGCAGGGGAUGCUUAUCGUUUACUGUGAAAAAAUUAGAGUGUUCAAAGCAGGCUUACGCCGUUGAAUAUAUUAGCAUGGAAUAAUAAGAUAGGACCUUGGUACUAUUUUGUUGGUUUGCGCACCGAGGUAAUGAUUAACAGGGACAGUUGGGGGUAUUCGUAUUCCAUUGUCAGAGGUGAAAUUCUUGGAUUUCUGGAAGACGAACUACUGCGAAAGCAUUUACCAAGGAUGUUUUCAUUAA